GUCUAUGGCCAUGCCACCCUGAGCAAGCCUGAUCUUGUUUGUCUUGGAAGCUAAGCAGGGUUGAGCCUGGUUAGUACUUGGAUGGGAGGCCAUCUAGAAAGGCCAGGUGCUGUAGGCA
rnacentral:rRNA from 1 species